UAGUAUAAGCAAUCUAUACGGUGAAACUGCGAAUGGCUCAUUAAAUCAGUCAUAAUUUAUUUGAUAGUACCAUUCUACUUGGAUAACCGUGGUAAUUCUAGAGCUAAUACAUGCUAAAAACCCCGACUUCGGAAGGGGUGUAUUUAUUAGAUAAAAAACCAAUGCCCUUCGGGGCUCCUUGGUGAUUCAUGAUAACUUAACGAAUCGCAUGGCCUUGUGCCGGCGAUGGUUCAUUCAAAUUUCUGCCCUAUCAACUUUCGAUGGUAGGAUAGUGGCCUACCAUGGUUUCAACGGGUAACGGGGAAUUAGGGUUCUAUUCCGGAGAGGGAGCCUGAGAAACGGCUACCACAUCCAAGGAAGGCAGCAGGCGCGCAAAUUACCCAAUCCCGACACGGGGAGGUAGUGACAAUAAAUACUGAUGCAGAGCUCUUUUGGGUUUUGCAAUUGGAAUGAGUACAAUUUAAAUCCCUUAACGAGGAACAAUUGGAGGGCAAGUCUGGUGCCAGCAGCCGCGGUAAUUCCAGCUCCAAUAGCGUAUAUUAAAGUUGUUGCAGUUAAAAAGCUCGUAGUUGAACCUUGGGCCUGGCUGGCCGGUCCGCCUCACCGCGUGCACUGGUCCGGCCGGGCCUUUCCUUCUGGGGAGCCGCAUGCCCUUCACUGGGUGUGUCGGGGAACCAGGACUUUUACUUUGAAAAAAUUAGAGUGUUCAAAGCAGGCCUAUGCUCGAAUACAUUAGCAUGGAAUAAUAGAAUAGGACGUGUGGUUCUAUUUUGUUGGUUUCUAGGACCGCCGUAAUGAUUAAUAGGGAUAGUCGGGGGCAUCAGUAUUCAAUUGUCAGAGGUGAAAUUCUUGGAUUUAUUGAAGACUAACUACUGCGAAAGCAUUUGCCAAAGGAUGUUUUCAUUAAUCA
rnacentral:rRNA from 1 species